rnacentral:rRNA from 1 species
CCUGUACACACCGCCCGUCACGUCAUGAAAGUCGGUAACACCCGAAGCCCAUGGCCCAACCCGCAAGGGGGGGAGUGGUCGAAGGUGGGACUGGCGAUUGGGACG